rnacentral:rRNA from 1 species
GUCCUCUUGAUUAUAUUUUGAGGUCUGGUCUGCUCACUGACAAAGUUUUAAAGAGCCGCGGUAUUUUGACCGUGCAAAGGUAGCAUAAUCAUUAGUCUCUUAAUUAGGGGCUGGAAUGAAUGGCUUGACGAAAAAUCAUCUGUCUCUUAUUAAAUUUUAGAAUUUAACUUUUAAGUUAAAAGGCUUAAAUUUUUCUUUAAGACGAGAAGACCCUAUAGAGCUUAACAUUUCAUUUUUAUAUAAUUUUUAGUUGAUCUUUUUAUAUUUAAAGAUAAUGUUUUGUUGGGGUGACAUGAAGAAUAAAUAAACUCUUCAUUUUAAAAUCAUUAAUUUAUGUUUAACAUGAUCCAUAAUUUAUGAUCAUAAGAUUAAGUUACCUUAGGGAUAACAGCGUAAUUGUUUUUGAGAGCUCAUAUUGACAAAGCAGAUUGCGACCUCGAUGUUGGAUUAAGAAUAAUUUUGGGUGCAGUAGCCCAAUAAUUAGGUCUGUUCGACCUUUAAAUUCUU